CCCUUAGAUGUUCUGGGCCGCACCCGCGCUACACUGAAGGAGGCAGCGUGUACUCCUGGAUCGAAAGAUUUGGGUAACCCGCGAAUCUCCUUCGUGCUAGGGAUUGAGGUUUGCAAUUAUCCUUCAUGAACGAGGAAUUCCCAGUAAGUGCAAGUCAUAAGCUUGCGCUGACUACGUCCCUGCCCUUUGUACACACCGCCCGUCGCUACUACCGAUUGAAUGAUUUAGUGAGGACUUUGGACUGGGACCGAUGCGGCUUUCGGGCUGCGUCGGUAUUCUGGAAAGAUGUCCAAACUGUAUCAUUUAGAGGAAGUAAAAGUCGUAACA
rnacentral:rRNA from 1 species